UACGGGGGGAGCAAGCGUUGUUCGGAUUUACUGGGCGUAAAGGGCGCGUAGGCGGCCACCGCAAGUCGACUGUGAAAUCCCCGGGCUUAACUCGGAAAGGUCAGCCGAUACUGCGGGGCUAGAGUGCAGAAGGGGCAACUGGAAUUCUCGGUGUAGCGGUGAAAUGCGUAGAUAUCGAGAGGAACACCUGCGGCGAAGGCGGGUUGCUGGGCUGACACUGACGCUGAUGCGCGAAAGCUAGGGGAGCGAACGGG
rnacentral:rRNA from 1 species